GCAAGAACUUGCUCAAGGCUUCUCACCUUAUCUUGGAUGCUCCUGAUCAUGUUAUUGAUUCUUCAGUCCUCCUAAGCUUUAGCAAUGGCAAUGGCCACCACAACAACCACCCCACUAACAGACAAGAUGCUCCCUUUUUCUCAACUUUCCAAUCAAUAAAGCAAGAGUGCAAGGACGGAUUCCCACACGAUCAUAAUAAUCAUCUCACCUACAACCAAUCAUCUUCUUCCG
rnacentral:misc_RNA from 1 species